UAUAAUGUUUUGACUCUUCGUCUUAUUUGAAAUUUUUUGCGAUUAAUAUUUUUAUUUUUGCUAGAUGAUAAAACAUUAAUAAUACUUUGUAUGCGUGACUAAUUUUUUAAAUUUUUUGUAUAAAUUUUUCAAAUAGGACGAAUAGCCAAACGUUCGGCACGGGAAAGC
rnacentral:pre_miRNA from 1 species